AGAGAACAGUAGAGUCGUACCCCCAUCUACAAGCUCAGAAUCAUAGGAGUAUAUCAAAGGCUUCAAUUUUCCUCGGGAAUGGAAAUCUUGCAAAAACAGUACUUUGGGAAGAUGCGAAGCAAACUGUGACAGUGCUUCUACUGUUGGCUGUUAUCUACUACCACUUAUUUACAUGUGGUUACACCUUCAUCACAGCGAUGGCAAAGCUUUUGUCACUAACUGCUCUGUUCUUAUUCAUUCAUGGCAUGCUGCCAUCAAAUCUGUUCGGUCACAAGGUUAAGAAACUUGAGGCCUCUAAUUUUCACAUCACACAGGCACAUGCUCAUCAUAUUGCUCAUUCCAUUAGUUCGAAUUGGAACUCUUUAGUCAGUGCGCUAAGAUCUCUUUGUAGAGGAAAUGAUUGGCUAUUGUUUCUCAA